UUGAGGUCCCUUGGUGACUUGCUUUUUCUGCCUGAAUGGUGAGGAAUUGUUUCUUCAUUCUUGAAGUUCAGGAUCUUCAUCAGGUUCUUUCUUUAGGCAAAUGAUGCAUCCUUUACAUCCGUAAAAGAUACCAUCUACAAGGCUACUUUAUUCCCCAACCUUCCAAAGAAUGUGAGUACCUUCUAUGAGGCUUCCUGACAUACAACUGCAUGAGACUGCCUUUUCAUGACCAGAUUUGACUAAGACUGACCUUCUCCUGGAUGGGAAGAAUCAGAGUGUAUUGCUGACGUAAAGGAGCCAUCUACUUCUGCUAUUUUAUAAAGCAGGAUAAGUGACCUCCCCAGGAGACUAGGAGUCUCAGAAAUGAAGACAUGGAAGACCCAGAAAGGUAGUGACUUGCCCAAGGUCACAAAGUUAAAAGCAAUGAGACCUGGGGACACUCUUGUUGCAUCACAACAUUCUGUCAAAAAACUAGUAUUUACUCUGUAAACAAUGUAAUAAAAAUGAAAAAUAU